UACGUAGGGUGCGAGCGUUAAUCGGAAUUACUGGGCGUAAAGCGUGCGCAGGCGGUUCGUUGUGUCGGCGGUGAAAGCCCCGGGCUUAACCUGGGAAUGGCCGUCGAAACUGGCGAACUGGAGUGUGGCAGAGGGGGGUGGAAUUCCGCGUGUAGCAGUGAAAUGCGUAGAGAUGCGGAGGAACACCGAUGGCGAAGGCAGCUUCGUGGUCCAUUCCUGACGUUGAGGCGCGAAAGCGUGGGGAGCAAACAGG
rnacentral:rRNA from 1 species